UACGUAGGGUGCGAGCGUUAAUCGGAAUUACUGGGCGUAAAGCGUGCGCAGGCGGUUUGCUAAGACCGAUGUGAAAUCCCCGGGCUCAACCUGGGAACUGCAUUGGUGACUGGCAGGCUAGAGUAUGGCAGAGGGGGGGUAGAAUUCCACGUGUAGCAGUGAAAUGCGUAGAGAUGUGGAGGAAUACCGAUGGCGAAGGCAGCCCCCUGGGCCAAUACUGACGCUCAUGCACGAAAGCGUGGGGAGCAAACGAGGAUUAGA
rnacentral:rRNA from 1 species